CGUACACUUAUCAACACUCACGUACAUGUUUAUGUAACAUUCUUUGCUCACUCUACUUUGUGUUAGUUUUCAGUAGAUUUCAUUUUUUUUCCAGGAACUUUUUUGCUUGCUGUUCUAAAGUAAACACUGAGGGUAUGAAUUGGCUUGAAACUAAUUAUUCUUGUGGCAAUAGCUCAAAGAGAUAUGAACAUUUGUACAUCAACUGUGGAGGAAAUGCAA